rnacentral:ncRNA from 1 species
ACAAUGGAGAGUUUGAUCCUGGCUCAGGAUGAACGCUAGCGGCAGGCCUAAUACAUGCAAGUCGAACGGGCGCAGCAAUGCGUCAGUGGCGCACGGGUGCGUAACGCGUAGGCAAUCUGCCUACACCUGGGGGAUAGCCCGCCGAAAGGUGGAUUAAUACCGCAUGACACCGCGGGCCGGCAUCGGCUGGCGGUUAAAGAAUUUCGGGUGUAGAUGAGCCUGCGUGCCAUUAGCUAGUUGGCGGGGUAAGGGCCCACCAAGGCGACGAUGGCUAGGGGAGCUGAGAGGCCGAUCCCCCACACUGGCACUGAGAUGCGGGCCAGACUCCUACGGGAGGCAGCAGUAGGGAAUAUUGGGCAAUGGGAGCAAUCCUGACCCAGCCAUGCCGCGUGCCGGAUGAAGGCCUUCUGGGUUGUAAACGGCUUUUGACCGGGAAGAAAAAGCCCCUGCGGGGGAAACCGACGGUACCGGUUGAAUAAGCACCGGCUAACUC